AAUUUUGUACAAUGGGCGCAAGCCUGAUCCAGCCAUGCCGCGUGAGUGUUGAACGCCCUAGGGUUGUAAAGCUCUUUUGUCCGGGACGAUAUUAACGGUACCGGAAGAAUAAGCCCCGGUUAACUUCGUGCCAGCCGCCGCGGUAAUACGAAGGGGGCUAGCGUUGCUCGGAAUCACUGGGCGUAAAGGGCGCGUAGGCGGACGUUUAAGUCAGGGGUGAAAUCCCGGGGCUCAAACACGGAAUUGCCUUUGAAACUGGAUGUCUCGAGACCGGAAGAGGUAAGUGGAACUGCGAGUGUAGAGGUGAAAUUCGUAGAUAUUCGCAAGAACACCAGUGGCGAAGGCGGCUUAAUGGUCCGGUUCUGACGCUGAGGCGCGAAAGCGUGGGGAGCAAACAGG
rnacentral:rRNA from 1 species